CUGGACUGCUGGAAGGGUAGCGGGGCUGACAUUUCUUGAAUGCUAAUUAUUGUGCUGGGCGCUGGGCAUAACUGAUCUCAACGAAUUUUCCAUGAGAUCUUGUUUUACAGAUGUUGACUCAGAUGGCCGCAGAGAUCAUCUGCCCAAGGCCACAAAGUAAGCAGUUGAAGCAUGGAGGCCUUUUGAAAAUAAUCUGUCAGGACUGAGGGCGAUGGCCAUCUCCGCGUGCCCGCGUUCCGAGAAGUGCAGACAGUCCUCAGAGAAGAAGGAGUGGCCUUGCUGUCAGCAAACCCCAGCUGAACGCCUGAUUCCUGAGUCUUUGCUCUGGGAGUGAAGGGGGCUCGCAUCUGGGCUCACCUGGAAGUUCCAGUUCACUUUCUUCAGUUCUUGCAUCUCCGGAGACUUCUCUUGGGAGCCUUUGAGGCAAGUGCAGUUGCUCCUGUGAGACAAAGAAUCUUGGGGUGAGGGUCCCCUGGGCGGCCUGACUCUGUCCUGACACACAGAGGAA